AUGUGUGUGGGUCGAUCAGAGAAGAAGAAAACAGGGCAAACCCCUCACUGAUCUAGAUCUCCAAAUUCAAGGGCAAUUCGAGCCUAAAAUUAGUGCAUGAAUGCAUAUAAAUGAUCACCUAAACUAGGGAUCACAAGGUAUGUCAAAAAUCUUAGCAAUUUGGGUGAAGCAUCAAGUGGUCAAGCCGGGCGGACACGCGUUUAAAAGGAAAGCUUUAAGGUGGUUGUUAUGAAGUCACGGAUGAUGAUCAAGCAUAGUGAAUGUUUUGGUCAAAAAUCACACAAGGAUAAUGUAACCAAGUCUGAUUUUUGUGAGGUUAGAUGCUUGGUUAAUUGAACAAAUGUGUGAACAAUAAUUGAAUGAAAUGAAUGAUCAACACAAGGAUUUAUACGAGGAAAAAGCCCUUGAUCAAUGAAUGAUCUCCGGCAUAAAAAACCUCGGGUGAUGGAAACUACCGAUCACCAACUAUAUUAAACAAACAAAGUUUACAACUUGGGAUGAUA
rnacentral:lncRNA from 1 species